CUACUGGGCAAUUGAUUUUUUUCCAUGCUAUGUUACCUUAUGUGGCGUUCGGCUCUGCACCAUCCUUACAUUAUUGAAAAGAAAUGAGCCAAAGGCAUGACAAAAGACAGCCUAUCCAAAGCUGAAGAAAUCUUACCCUGUGUGGGAAAAGCAAUCGGAUGUCAAUUCUCAAUGACUUGCUACUAAGCCUAGCAAAGAAUACUGGCGUGUCUAUGGAAUGACCGGCUAGGUUCGAUGGAGAAGGGACUGACGAAAUGUUUUGACCAACUGAACAGAUAACCACAGCUAUUACGACUAUCCAGAAGGCAGCGCCAAGCAAGAUAAAAGGAAGUGUAAAAACAAGGAACCAGCUUAAAAGCCUUUUGGAAUGUCCGAGCAGAUGGUUGAGAUUGGUCGCUUGUUUGAAUUUUGUGUCUGCAUGUUGGCUGGCGUUGCUUUCCGAUGUUUGUACAGAGAUAGCGCGGUGGGUGGAAUCCAUAAGAGG
rnacentral:sRNA from 2 species